CUUAAAAGAUGGAGGACAAUUGAAAUGCUGUGAUUCAUUUAAAUCUUCCUCUUCUGAGGGAAGAGGUUCAUCAGAUCAUUCCUCUCCUCCUCCUGCUAUUCUGAGGUGGAUGUAUCUUUGUAUGGAGAUAAUCAUUUAUUGUUGUUGGGAGUCUCAGUUACUUGAAAUGGGUUUCCUUGCAAUGUUCUUAUCUCCAGUUUUGAGUUAUAGCCAGUUUCCAUGUCACACACCCACAAGCUGGACCAAUGUCUGGGGAAAUCGCUGGAUGAUAUUCCGCAUUAUGAUUGGAGCUGGUUUGAUAAAGAUGAGAGGUGAUAGCUGUUGGAGGGACUUGACUUGUAUGAACUAUCAUUAUGAGGUUUGUACAUUGUAUAUUGUAUAGUGUAUGAUGCUUUAAUGUGGUGGAGUUUCAGUUUGA
rnacentral:misc_RNA from 1 species